UACGUAGGGUGCAAGCGUUAAUCGGAAUUACUGGGCGUAAAGGGCUCGUAGGCGGCCAACUAAGUCAGACGUGAAAUCCCUCAGCUUAACUGGGGAACUGCGUCUGAUACUGGAUGGCUUGGAUUCGGGAGAGGAAUGCGGAAUUCCAGGUGUAGCGGUGAAAUGCGUAGAUAUCUGGAGGAACACCGGUGGCGAAGGCGGCAUUCUGGACCGAUAUUGACGCUGAGGAGCGAAAGCCAGGGAGCAACGGG
rnacentral:rRNA from 1 species